rnacentral:rRNA from 1 species
UUGGAGGGCAAGUCUGGUGCCAGCAGCCGCGGUAAUUCCAGCUCCAAUAGCGUAUAUUAAAGUUGUUGCAGUUAAAAAGCUCAUAGUUGAAUUUCGGGAUUGGCGUGUCGGUCGUGCCUUAAGGGGUAUGAACUGGCGUCGUCGAUUUCUCACCUUCUGGAGAAUCAUGAUGCCCUUAAUUGGGUGUCGUGUGGAACCAGGACCUUUACCUUGAAAAAAUUAGAGUGUUUAAAGCAGGCAUUUUUGCUCGAAUACAUUAGCAUGGAAUAAUAAAAUAGGACGGUUUGGUUCUAUUUUGUUGGUUUCUAGGAUCACCGUAAUGAUUAAUAGGGAUAGUUGGGGGCAUUAGUAUUCAAUUGUCAGAGGUGAAAUUCUUGGAUUUAUUGAAGACUAACUACUGCGAAAGCAUUUGCCAAGGAUGUUUUCAUUAAUCAAGAACGAAAGUUAGGGGAUCGAAGACGAUCAGAUACCGUCGUAGUCUUAACCAUAAACUAUGCCGACUAGGGAUCGGAUGAUGUUAAUUUUUUAAUGACUCAUUCGGCGCCUUACGGGAAAC